CCUACGGGUGGCAGCAGUGAGGAAUAUUGGUCAAUGGACGAGAGUCUGAACCAGCCAAGUAGCGUGCAGGAUGACUGCCCUAUGGGUUGUAAACUUCUUUUAUAAAGGAAUAAAACGAGGCACGUGUGCCUUUUUGCAUGUACUUUAUGAAUAAGGAUCGGCUAACUCCGUGCCAGCAGCCGCGGUAAUACGGAGGAUCCGAGCGUUAUCCGGAUUUAUUGGGUUUAAAGGGUGCGUAGAUGGGUUGUUAAGUCAGUGGUGAAAGUUUGCGGCUCAACCGUGAAAUUGCAAUUGAUACUGGCAGUCUUGAGUACAGUUGAGGUAGGCGGAAUUCGUGGUGUAGCGGUGAAAUGCUUAGAUAUCACGAAGAACCCCGAUUGCGAAGGCAGCUUACUAAACUGUGACUGACAUUGAUGCUCGAAAGUGUGGGGAUCAAACAGGAUUAGAUACCCCUGUAGUC
rnacentral:rRNA from 1 species